GCAGCAGAUGAGCCUGUAGAGCUGGAAGCAGAGCUGCAGGAAGGUGCAGAGCCAUGGGAGACAGUUCCCCUCCUUCCCCCGGGCUCUGCUGGGGGCUCAGGCAGGAGCCGGGCCCCAGGCCCAAGAGGCUGUCGGAUUCCGCAGGGCAGGCGCAGGCCCUGCAGUCAGCUAAGAAAGCCUGCGUGCUGAGGCGAGGCUGCAGCACUCCAGAUCCAGCAGGGCACCCUCUCCUCCCUUCCCCAGGCUCGGGCUGCUCCCUUUUCCUGGAUGAGAGCGGCCAGGACGAGCUGGGUGCCAGUUUUUCCGUGUCCAAGUACAAUGACGUGGCCAUUUCCCUGGACGUCAGCAGGUGCUUCGACGACAGCGAGCUGGACGAUUCCCUGCUGGAGCUGUCAGGCAGCGAGAAAGGGAGUUCUCCCUUUGAUUACACCGAGGAGGAGAUCCAGGAGAUCUUGGCUGAUGAUUCCAUGGAAGCUGAGCAGCAGCAGCAGCAGCACCUGGCUGGGGAAAGCCACCUGAGCCAAAGUGACAGCGGAGAGAGCGACAAGGCGGAGAGCGACUGCGCCACGGGGACAUCAGCCAGUGAAUCGGCCUCAGAGGGACCAAAGGAAGCUCAGGAGCCUCUCUCAGGCAGCUCUGGGUGUGAUCCUGGUUUUUUCACUCUGGAUGGGGCCCAGCUGCAGCAGGAGCUGGACCUUGACCUGCAGGAGCUGCUGAGCCUGAGCCCGUUCGCCGCCGCCUGCGCCGACGAGGCUCUGGAGGAAAAUAACCUGGAAAGAGAAACUUUGGAUGCAAUGAUAGAUGAUUGCUUGGGAUAUUCCACAGCUGCUGGGAGCUGCAUUCCUGAAAAAUCCACGGAGGGGGUGACGCCCAAAGGCCAGGAAAGUCAGGAUUGCCUGGGAAAAUCCGUGUCCUCAUCCGACCUUCCCUGUGGCCAGAGCACAGGGGAUGAGGGUCCAGCAUCUGCCUUGCCACCAAAACAAGAACUUCCCAAAGCAACCACGAGCUGUUCCUCCAGGAAAUCAGGCUCUCCAGAGGAUGCUGAAAGGGAAUCCACAGGAGCUGAGCAGCCACCAGGCAGCACUAAAUCAAGUGACACAGCUGGAGGCCAGACUGGGCAGGAAGAGCCACCCGGUGGGAAGAAAAGUGGCAGAGUAAUUCCUGUCCCACAGGAGGAGGAAGAAAGGCCGAAACAACGGAUCUGCGUUUCAGAAGCUCAGCCUGAGCAAAAGAAACGUUUCUCUGCAGGCUGUGCCCAUCCAAGUGAGGAAAAGUGUGGCUAUUACCUCAGGUGGUUCGUAGAUUUUAUUCCCAGAGUGGGACAAGACUUUGGACACCAAGCAGAAUUUCUCCCUGCCUUGAACGUGCAGAGACUGAGACAGAGAGAAUGGAAAUAAUUUGGCCUGAGGAUCAGCAGUGAAGCUUGGAGCAGAGCCUGACUGCACAAACUCCCAGAUCUCACAGAAUCCAGGCAGGAAGGAACCCAUGGACAGCACUUUUUGGGGCUGGGGCAUGGCCAGUGUCAGGGCUUUGGGAUGUGUCAGGUCCUUGGUGCCACCAGAGCCUUUCAGGUGACUUUUCCCUCUGUAAAUUUUAUUUACAGAGAGCUUUUGCAUUGGGGGCAAAGGAAAAAAAUAAAUUCUUUGGAAGCCACGUGAGAGUUGCCAGCCCGUGGUGGUUCCUGGAUUUUAAACCACUGAACCCCACUAAUUAAGUUCUUUGAAAAAGAAAUAAUUUCCCUGUGCUCUGGGGACAAUUUCACCUGAUAUCCAUGAAAUCCCAGCACGGUUUGGGUUGGAAGGGACAUAAAGAUCAUUCAGAUCAUCUCAGUCAGGGCAGGGACACCUCCCACUGUCUCAGGCUGUUCCAAUCCCUGUCCAACCUGCCCUUGGACACUUCCAGGGAUGGAAAUUCCCAGCGAGCAGCUCCUGACCGUGCCAGGGAGAUGCUGAUGGUGUCUCCAGGGACAGGAGAGGGAGGUGUGUGUGUUCUUUGGGAAUGUCAAACUCUGCCAUGGAGCAGCUCUGCCCUUUGGGAAGGAUUGAGGCUUUCUGGGCAGCUUCAGGGCUGCAAAUUUCCCACUGUGACGUUGCAAAUGAUUCACAUCUGAGUGGUGGAGAGAGGAGGGAGGGAUUGUGGAUUAAUCCUCCAUGCAAGGACAGGGUGUUUUGCUGUGUGUUUGCUGUUACAGAGUAGCCAAAGGCCCUGCUGAUGAUUUUUUUGCUGUGGUAGAACCCAGCGAUAUCAAUAAAAACUGGAAUAAAACUGCCUUUGUGCAAGCUCUGAUGAAAUGCCCGACAAUUAAAAAUUGGAUUGUGUUCAUCAAUGGAUUCCAGCCAGCCAACAGCAGCUGGAAAACGACAACACUGAAAUGAAACCACUCUGUGUGGGGGGUUUUUUUUCUGCUUUUCUCUCAAAACUAACCAGCUCUUCCCUGUAAGGAGGAAGAAACGACACCCUGAAAAGGGAAAUAGUGGAAGCUGAUCAUAUUUUCCUUUUGGUUUGAGGGGAUAUUUAGGUGCAGAGCAGGUCUGGAUGGUACAAAUAGGUUUUAUUUGGCAGUCGGUGGCGUUAAAGGCGGGGGUUUUGUGACUUCAAAAGGACAACGAUGCUGCAAAGUGUCAAAUGGCAUCUCGGGGCUCUGUCACUAUUGCCACUCCAUGGUUCUGCUUCCAGCACGCCCAGAUUCCAAGGAAAAAGAGGAUUUUUGUGGCUGCCAGCUUUGCUGCCUCCAUCUGAGAAUCUGGAAUUCAAGCUGUGCCUUCCCCGGCUCUGUCGCUAAUAAUGAAGAUUCUUCAUUUGGAACUUACUUAACCAAAAUUGAGGCUGAAGGAGAAUCCAGCUCCUUUUCUUUCCCCCCCCCCUCAAGACGUGUGGGCUGCAGCACCACCAAGGGGGAAGAGCAUCAUUUUAAUGCCUGAGGUCACCAAACAAUUCAAUAGACGCCAGAUUUGUGGAGGAAACAGAAGAUAUUUUAGCAUAACAAGCGUGUGUUGAUGGAGCAGCUUUUUAACACACGCUGGAGAAGAAUUGAAUUUGGUCAGCUCAGCUUCCAGACGAGGCUGUAAUAGCUCAUUACACAUCGUUAGGAAGCUUUUUUUUUUUUUUCUUUUUUUUGCUGCAAAUCUGGGGGAAAUUACA
rnacentral:lncRNA from 1 species